GAGUUUGAUCAUGGCUCAGAUUGAACGCUGGCGGCAUGCCUUACACAUGCAAGUCGAACGGCAGCACGGGAGCUUGCUCCUGGUGGCGGGUGGCGAACGGGUGAGUAAUGCAUCGGAACGUAUCCUGGAGUGGGGGAUAACGUAGCGAAAGUUACGCUAAUACCGCAUAUUCUGUGAGCAGGAAAGCGGGGGACCUUCGGGCCUCGCGCUCUUGGAGCGGCCGAUGUCGGAUUAGCUAGUUGGUGAGGUAAAGGCUCACCAAGGCGACGAUCCGUAGCAGGUCUGAGAGGAUGAUCUGCCACACUGGAACUGAGACACGGUCCAGACUCCUACGGGAGGCAGCAGUGGGAAUUUUGGACAAUGGGGCAACCCUGAUCCAGCCAUGCCGCGUGAGUGAAGAAGGCCUCGG
rnacentral:rRNA from 1 species